rnacentral:rRNA from 1 species
UGGGGAAUAUUGCACAAUGGGCGCAAGCCUGAUGCAGCCAUGCCGCGUGUAUGAAGAAGGCCUUCGGGUUGUAAAGUACUUUCAGUCGGGAGGAAGGUGGUAAGGUUAAUAACCUUGGCAAUUGACGUUACCGACAGAAGAAGCACCGGCUAACUCCGUGCCAGCAGCCGCGGUAAUACGGAGGGUGCAAGCGUUAAUCGGAAUUACUGGGCGUAAAGCGCACGCAGGCGGUUGAUUGAGUCAGAUGUGAAAUCCCCGGGCUUAACCCGGGAAUUGCAUCUGAUACUGGUCAGCUAGAGUCUUGUAGAGGGGGGUAGAAUUCCAUGUGUAGCGAUGAAAUGCGUAGAGAUGUGGAGGAAUACCGGUGGCGAAAGCGGCCCCCUGGACAAAGACUGACGCUCAGGUGCGAUAGCGUGGGGAGCAAACAGG